rnacentral:rRNA from 1 species
GGUGGCUGACGGAUAUCGUCAGUGGUGUCCAUGCUCGGCCACUUGCGGUUGAUGUUGGCGCCGGCGCGCGGCGUUGGCGAUGCUCGGUGGUGCGGCUGCCUGGUGCGGUCGUUGUGUUUGUCGUCCCCUCCCGGCAACCUGUUGGUCCUGGUCAUGCGAGCUCAGGGGCGAGCGACUCUGCCUGUCGACGGCGUAGUGUCCUCCGAUCCAGGACUAGAGGGCAGGGGGCUCUCUUCGGAGGUAGAGACGAAUGGCGGACCGGAUGGCUUGGCCCAAGGGGGAUGACAGAGCGUGACAAUCCUCCUGCAGCGGGAUCUACCUCGGCUCAGCCGCGGCGUGUGUUGGCUCCUGUUCGCCGAGGGCUUCGAUGUUCAAGCUUGUGCUUGGUGUAUUCGAGUCUUGUUAGUGGCUCCUUUGGUAUCUUGUAUCUUUGCCGUUUUUAGUUUUUUUCUUCCUUUCUUCUUCUUUUUCUUUGGGCUUGAUGUGCUGCUCGCCCCAGCAUUGCGAUGUGUCAAUGGUGGUUUGCUUUGGAAUACAAAGCGGGGG